CAGAUGUGCAGCUCAGUCUUUAUCUGUGUCCAGAACAACUGGAGAAGGGAUAUCUCAAAAGCAGUUGUUUUUACGUGGGAUAUUUUAUAUGAGGUGGGCUACCUUGUCUGGUCUUGGUGGGAGGUAAUGAAACUUGCCUCCCAGAAAUUUGAUGUGCCAGGGUUGGAGGACACCACCCUCCCAGAAUAGAAGGGGAAAGAGGGGUUCUGUGGUCGGGGUUACUGCGGGAAGGGUGGCCAGGAGGGAGGGCAUUGAUCGGGAUGUAAAGUGAAAAUAGAAAUAAAAAAAAUAAAAAUAAAAAAGAGAAGACUUGAAAAUAUGUUAUGAAGGAAAACUACAUUUUUCUACAAUAAAUAAAAUGAUUUCCUAUUGAUUAAAAAAAGUCAUGCAGAAGAUGUAUCAGUUGGAACUCUGUACAGUAGGGCCACUCAUCUCCAUUUUGAUUAGUGUAGAUCAAGAGGACAUAGACCCUAGAACAGACCCAACCACAGCUACUUUUUUGAAACCAACACAAUUUCCAACUAUAAUCUAAAUACUUGUGCUUAUACACACAGAUAAGUGUAUCUCUUACCCCUCAUCAAAGUGAUUUCUUUUAUUGCAGCAGAUGGAGACUUAAUGACAAUGUUUUAAAGCUGCAAUGUGUAGUUUUCAUUUUUACCCACUAUAGAACUUCCUUUUUGCUAUAAAAACAUAAUGAAGACAUAAAGUUUUACUAUUCUUAACCAUGACCUCUCUUCUCUACCUUGCAUGUACUUCCCUGGGCCCAGGCCCAGAAUGGUUGCAACAUCUUUAAGGCCGUAUUUAGCAUACGUAUUAUUUUCACCAAUCCAAGUAGUGCCAAGUCAGUUAUCUAGUUUACAGUGAUUGUGUGUGUUUUUCUCAAACUUUUGACUUCAUUUUUGAAUUUUGUUGGUGUGCUGGCUUGUUUGCACAGUUUCAUGAUGUGUUCUGCAUUGGCAUUGGUUUUUCUGGGAUGCUUCUUAUUGGACGUAUUUGGUGCCCUCUCCAUGUUCUUUUGUACAGCUUCUUCCAGUGUGAACAUUGCUUGGCUAACUGCUGCAUGCCUCGAGAACUGGCCAGCCUUCAUUAUAACUGAUACUUCUGAAGUCUGGGAAAGGAGAAGACAUGAAGAUGUUUGAAUUGGACACAUGAUCAAUCUUUUCAAAUUGGUUGGUCCUUUGUG
rnacentral:sRNA from 1 species